UACGUAGGGUGCAAGCGUUAAUCGGAAUUAUUGGGCGUAAAGGGUGCGUAGGCGGUUUGUUAAGACGGAUGUGAAAUCCCUGGGCUCAACCUGGGAACUGCAUACGUGACUGGCAGACUAGAGUAUGGCAGAGGGAGGUGGAAUUCCACGUGUAGCAGUGAAAUGACGUAGAUAUGUGGAGGAACACCGAUGGCGAAGGCGAAGCC
rnacentral:rRNA from 1 species